AAGGGCACCACAAGUCGCGUGGAGCAUGUGGCUUAAUUUGACUCAACGCGGGAAAUCUUACUAGAUCAGGACACUUUGAGGAUUGACAGACAGUUAUACCGAACUACGAAUAAUGAAUGGUCCAGGGUAGGCAAAAACUAAUAGCUCUUUUAUGAUUAUGUGAUAGGUGGUGCAUGGCCGUUCUUAGUUCGUGGAGUGAUCUGUCUGCUUAAUUGCGUUUCAAAACAACUGAUACACAGAGUCUUGGCACAGUUCAGUUUAAUGGCGUCGAGUAUCUUUGAUUUCGACAGUAGUCCAACUCGGUUCGCCAGGGUCUCUUUUGAACGCAACGGACGUGAUCGCAACCCUUUGUUGAGUGAUGUCAGCACUCUACGUCUAUCCUAGCUCGUUGAUCGCAAGUGAGAGUUGGGUGGGCAAACUCAGGGGACAGCUUCAACUAUUCUUCUUCAAACUAGAGGAAGGUUGCGGCAAUAACAGGUCUGUGAUGCCCUCAGAUGUUCUAGGCUGCACACGUGCUACAUUGAUCAGCACAAUGCGAUACAUUUCGAAAGGAAACAUCGGUUUUAAGGUAACGUCGAUUGCCUACCGAUAGCACCUGGUCCCCAGUGGACUGGGCAAUCUCUUCUAAAUGCUGGUAAGGUACCCACACUCGAGCUAUUUAAUCACACGCGGGAGGCACACACGGUUCAAAUCUCAUUUGCGACUGUUGCCGCCAUGACGUAUGCAACUUGUCAAUUCUUCGUGGGGAUCGUCGAUUGCAACUAUUCGACUCGCCACAACUAGGAAUGCCUCGUACGGGUCUCGGUUCACCAUACCGCCCGGAAUACGUCCCUGCCCUUUGUACACACCGCCCGUCGCUCUUACCGAUUGAACUAUACUGCGAGUUUGAAGGACCAGGUCUCUGGCACUUGGAAAUUUAGUCAAACAGAGUUGUUUAAAGGAAAGAGAAGUCGUAACAAGGCUUCUGUAGGUGAACCUGCUGAGGAUCA
rnacentral:rRNA from 1 species